rnacentral:rRNA from 1 species
UACGUAGGGGGCAAGCGUUGUCCGGAUUUACUGGGCGUAAAGAGCGUGUAGGCGGCCAAGCAGGUCCGUUGUGAAAACUGGAGGCUUAACCUCCAGACGUCGACGGAAACUGCGUGGCUAGAGUCCGGAAGAGGAGAGUGGAAUUCCUGGUGUAGCGGUGAAAUGCGCAGAUAUCAGGAAGAACACCAAUGGCGAAGGCAGCUCUCUGGGACGGUACUGACGCUGAGACGCGAAAGCGUGGGGAGCGAACAGG